CACUGCGCCCGGCCACCAUUCACUGGCUUUUGAACUUGUGCUAGUUAUUUAACCCUCCUAAGCCUCAGUUUCCUUUUCUAUAAUAGGGGAUAAUAAAGGCACUUAGCUUACAGGCUUGUUGGGAGGCAAGGAUGGAAACGUACUUAGUCUGGUGCCUGGCACACAAAUAAGAACUCAGUGGCCAGGCGCGUUGGCUCACACCUGUAAUCCCACCAUUUUGGGAGGCCAAGGAGGGUGGAUCACCUGAGGUCAGGAGUUCAAGACCAGCAUGGCCAACAUGGUGAAACCCCAUCUCUACUAAAAAUACAAAAAAAAAAAAAUUAAAAAAUAGUGGGGCGUGGUGGCAGGAGCCCGUAAUCCCAACUACGUGGGAGGCUGAGGCAGAAUUACUUGAACCUGGGAGGUGGAGGUUACAGUGAGCUGAGAUUGUGCCAUUGCACUCCAGCCCGGGCAACAGGAGCAAAACUCCACCUCAAAAAAAAAAAAAAAAAAAAAAGAACUCAGCAAGGCUGCUAUUGUCCCCUAUACAUCAUGGCUACUGUUCCCGUCCUUGCACCACCCCUGCCAGGACCACCUGAGCACCCAGAGCUCACCUGAAGCGUAGCCGAUCAUGAAGAGCAAGUAGACGAGCAGGAAUCGGAAAAGGUCCUUGAAGAGAAUCUAAAGACCCCAGCGGGAUUAUGGAGGCAAAGAGGAGACACAUGGUUUCUCACUUUCCCCAUUCCUCCAUCUCCACCCUGGUCCCACCCCAGUGUCCAGACCAUGCCUCCUGCCCCCACGGUACCCAGCAUCCUCAGGUCUGCAGGUGCAUAAGUGUGCAUGUGGUGUGUGUGUGACUCCCUCCAGGAACACACGAGUCCAGAGGGUCCUCCCAGCCCGUACCUUCUGGAUCAUGAUGCUAUAGGUCCCCGUCAGCUUCAGCCCACGGGUGAAGUAAAGGGCAUUCAUCCAGCCCAGGACCAGGGCAAAGACCAUCACGGCCAGGUAGGCCUCGAUCCCUGCCAGGUAGAGGGCUGCUGAGACGAUCACCAGGACAGAGUAGAUGAAGCUGCAGUGCAGCAGAGACCACAAGAGAGGCCAGAGGGGAGAGGGGACAAUGAGGCUCUGGAGGGGAAGACACGCCUCCAAGCCCUCCAGGGUAUCAGGACUUCCCAAUGCCUUCUAGACCCCCAGAAAAGAAACAAAGUGGAUUAGCAGGGUUCCCCAGCAUUCUGUUAACAAGAACAUUCAAUUAGCUGGCAAUUAAUCCUGAGGUCCCACAGGAUCCUGAAGUGAUGCCCCUUGGAAUUGCUAAAGAAAGAUUUAGUGGUGUUCAGUGGAGAUUUUGUGGCUAAGUGAAUUUCAUCAUUCUCCAACUCUAAGGGAAAUGUGAAAGAGGUAACACACACUCAGUAACUCUCUCAUUCUCUGUCCCAGGCAGACAUCAUUAAUCAAUCCCAACUCUUUCCCACUAAACACAGACACAGGUGCAAAAUUCUUAACAUGGCACUUCAGGCAGACAUUAGCAAUCAUUCACCAGCAUAAGAGGUUAAAAUUAUUUCUAUCCAUGUUGUAUAUGAUAACUCCCUAGCAAUCAGAAUUUUUCUUGAACCAGAAGACCCUAUUGUUUGUGGCUUUGUCCUGACUUUGGGUUAGAGCUGCCCAGGUUGGGUGCAUUCAUUUCUAACAGAAUCACCUCUCUCCUGAAUCUGGACGACCUAGCAGCCCAAACCCACCUUCCUCACCCAGAAGCUGCCGGCCCAGGGACCUCUACUCACUAGAGCAGCUGGAAGGAGCCAUCAAUGAAGAGAGAAUUCACUCCAGGGCAUUUCUUCAUGAACAAGUCUUUGAUCUGGAAGACAGGAGGGGGCACGUGAAAGGGGUGGGGCCAGCAGGAGAGGAGAGGAGGAGAGAGGAGACAGAGAAAGGGAUAGAAGAGAGGGAGGCAGAGGCUGGUACAGAGAAAAGACAAAGGACUCUUUCCUGUUAGAAAAGGAGAAAAAAGCAGAGAUGGAGAACGUGGGAUUGGAGGAGGUAGAAGAGAAAUGGGAAAAUAAAAGGAGGAAGGAAAGGAGAAGGACCAUUUGGAGGAGAGAGAAGAGAAAAAGAGGGAGAGAAAAGAGGUGCAGGAAGAGAAGAGGAGGGCAGGCAGGGUGGGGGGCACGGGGGCCAGGCACUUACGUUGGUGAAGAAGAACAGGACCCCAGUGAAGAGCGUAAUGACCUCGCCAGCCAGCCGCAGGUAGUCCACCGUGGUGCGGUAAGGGUACGGCGGCUGGGGAGCAGCAAGGGCACACAGGUCGUCACCCAGCCCCUCCAACAUCUGGCCCCCAAUCCAGAUGUUCCCCCAGGCCCGAAACAUCGGCAUCCCAUGGAGCCUCCUCCUUCACUCUCUUCCUCCUGAGUCUUCCUCCUCCCAGCUCAGGGCCACCCGUGGAUGCUGGAGGGCGCCUCCCCAACCUGUUCCUAAACCUUCUCCGGGUCCCCCUACAGGGGACCCAGAAGGAUGAGGUUGUGCCCCAGUCCUGCAUGGCUCAGCCCAGUGCCUGCCCCAGCCCCUGCCCGGUCCCCGGGCACUCACUGUGCCCUCCAGCGGCUGGUAGUAGGCGGUGAGAGUGAAGAUGACCAUGGCACACAGCUGCAUUCACGGAUUCAUGAAUGGAUUCAGCUGCCCAAUUCUGCCUCAAUGUACCUUUCCACCCUAUUCUAGCAUCACAGAACUCGGAACUGGAAAGUCCCUUAAAAGACAUUUAUUUUCAGGCCGGCCGCAGUGGCUCAUGCCUGUAAUCCUAGCACUUUGGGAGGCCAAGACAGGCGGAUCACCUAAGGUCAGCAGUUCAAGAUCAGCCUGGCCAAUGUGGUGAAACCCUGUCUCCACUAAAAACACAACAAUUAGCCGGGCGUGGUGGUGCACACCUGUAAUCCCAGCUACUCCUAAGGCUGAGGCAGGAGAAUCACUUGAACCUGGGAGGCGGAGAUUGCAGUGAGCCUAGAUCGCACUACUGCACUCCAGCCUGGGCAACAAGAGUGAGACUCCAUCUCAAAAAAGAAAAAAAGACAUUUAUUCUCAUGGUUCCCAAACUCCAAUCUGUGGAUAGUACCAAGCUGCUGGCCGCAAAAUAAUUUAUGUAACUUGCUGCAAGUAUAAAUCCUGGCCUCCGCUCUCAGAAAUUCUGAUUCAGAGAGAAAGAUUGAGAAAUUUUGCCCAAAGAUGAUAAAUGAUUGACUCACCACAAUUCUCCAAUUCUGAACCCAGGGCAGACAUCAAUAAUUGAGCCCUGCACAAUUGUAUUCAUACAGUUCCCUGGGUAGACACUACUAAUCAAUCAGUUUGCACCUGAGAUGCUAAACCUCCUGCCACCACUAAUUUAAAUCAAGAUGGUCACUAAUUCAAAAAAUGAGGGAAAUGAGGUCUUGCAAGGAAGCCAAGCUCACAGACCAGUAAGCCACAGGGCAGGGCUAGAAGGAAGACCACCUGCACCCAGUCCCCAGCAUUUUCUGCUCCAUUUUUAUAGCUUCCUAGCCCUUUAUUAACUUGAGUUUCUCUAUAAUCAUGAUUUGUGCAAUAAAGCAGCCACAGAGAUGCUCUUAUAGUGUUAUUCCUGAUAAAGGCAGAAACAAACCCAAGCGACCAGCAAUAAGAGAACAGUUCAUUUGAAUAUGGUAUGUUUACAUGCAGCGACAAUAUUACCAAAGAAUAUUUAAAAGUACAGAACGACGUUCACAAAAUACUGCUAAGUAGGGAAAAAAAAGCUUGGUUUUUUGUUUGUUUGUUUGUUUGUUUAUUUUGAGACAGGAUCUCACUCUGUCACCCAGGCUGGAGUGCAGUGGCAUGAUCUCGGCUCACUGAAGCCUCGACCUCCCCAGGCUCAGGUGAUCCUCCCACCUCGCCUCCCAAGUAGCUGGGACUACAGGCUCGCACCACCAUGCCUAGCUAAUUUUCAUUUUUAUUAUUUUUUUUUGGUAGAGACGGGGUUUCGCCAUAUUGCCCAGGCUAGUCUCAAACUCCUGGCUUCAAGCAAUCCGCCCACCUUGGCUCCCCAAAAUGCUAGAAUUACAGGCAUAAGCCACCAUGCCUGACCGAAAAAAAAGAGCUUUCAAAAGUUCAUAUAACAACCAUGAGUAGUAAAAGCUGACAUAAUGUUUACUCUGUGCCAAGCCAUUCUAAAAUUAACCUCUUUGGUCCUCCCAAGAACCCCAUGGGAUAUCCAUGAUCCUUAUCCCCAGGUUACAAAUGAAGAAGCUGAGACCCAGAGAGGUGGAGCCACUUGUCCUGAGACACACAGCAUAUAAAGAAUGGAGGCUGGGAAAAACGAAGGGUGUUCCAGAAGCCACUUAACCAGUCAGCUGGAGCCAGACAGAACCUGGAUGAGCCUUCAACAUCUUAAUUGUAAUGAAUAUCUUCUUCAUGCCGUUAAAAUAGCAAUGAAUCCAUCUUAAUGACAUGUGAAUUAUAAUACUGACGAUCACAUGCGGUCCUUCCUGUUACCACUCCUCCUUCCCUGGCUUACACACAGGGAAGCGGAGGCACAGAGAGGGGUGGGAAUUGCCCAAGGUCAGGCAAUGUUAGGAUUUUGGGGUUUUUGUUUUGAGACAGAGUCUCUCUCUGUCACCCAGGCUGGAGUGCAGUGGCGCGAUCUCAGCACACUGCAACCCUCUCCUCCUAGGUUCAAGCAAUUCUCCUGCCUCAGCCUCCUGAGUAGCUGGGAUUACAGGUGCCCACUAUCAC
rnacentral:lncRNA from 10 species